AAUGUGAAAAAUGGCAUGGGGAGUGUAGAAUCGCAUGUGGAAGAUUGAAUAUCGCAUACGAAAAAAUGGUUAGCAUAGGGUAAUGUGAAAAGUGGCAUGGGGUGUGUAGAUGGACAAAAUCGCAUGUGGAAGAUUGAAUUCGCACAGUUUCGCAUGGAGGUAUGAAAUCGCAUGGGAGAUGAAGAUCUGACGGCUGGGGUUAUCGCGUACGUAAUGUACGAUAAGCCCUAUUGUACGUUAACUGACCUCUAUAUAAAUAUAUAGGGUGGGAGUUGGCCACAAAGUCCAUUUUUCCUAUAAAGUGUAAAAAGUCAUAAAACACCAUAACAUUAACCAUAAAACACACUCAAAACCCACAAAUAACAAAUGGAAGAUUACCAAAACGCCAUAUUUGUGGGUUUUGUGUUGUGUUUUGGAUGAUAAGGCUUUGAUUAUCGAAUGACUAAUAUUAUUCUACGAUGGUGUGUUUGA
rnacentral:lncRNA from 1 species